rnacentral:rRNA from 1 species
UACGGGGGGUGCGAGCGUUGUCCGGAAUCACUGGGCGUAAAGGGCGCGUAGGUGGUUUGAUAAGGGUGUGGUGAAAGUCCGGGGCUCAACCCCGGAUCUGCCGUGCCGACUGUCAAACUCGAGGACUGUAGAGGCAGACGGAAUUCCGGGUGUAGCGGUGGAAUGCGUAGAGAUCCGGAGGAAGACCGGUGGCGAAGGCGGUCUGCUGGGCAGUUUCUGACACUGAGGCGCGGACAGCGUGGGGAGCAAACAGG